rnacentral:rRNA from 1 species
CAGUAGCCACGGUAAUACGGAGGGUGCAAGCGUUAAUCGGAAUUACUGGGCGUAAAGCGCACGCAGGCGGUCUGACAAGUCAGAUGUGAAAUCCCCGGGCUUAACCUGGGAACUGCAUUUGAAACUGUCAGGCUGGAGUCUUGUAGAGGGGGGUGGAAUUCCAGGUGUAGCGGUGAAAUGCGUAGAGAUCUGGAGGAAUACCGGUGGCGAAGGCGGCCCCCUGGACAAAGACUGACGCUCAGGUGCGAAAGCGUGGGGAGCAAACAGGAUUAGAUACCCGCGUAGUCCCUGUCUCUUAUCC